GGAAAACUCUUGUGAGCAACAGGACCUGAGCAGGCCUGGGCCUGCAAUCCAUUAUGAAGAAGCAAAUAAUGAAAUAGCCUAACAUGACAAACCCAUGGCCUACUCCAGUUCACUGACCAAGGAACUACUUAUGAUGGAGAAGGAAGUGUAUGUCAGUCCAAUUCUGUGAAAUAAGACGGAAUUGAGUAUCACCCACAGCUUGCAGGUAAGUAGAUCUUCAUUCUCCCACUGCCUUUGUGGAACUGCACUGCCAACCACUUGAAGA
rnacentral:lncRNA from 1 species